GGCAGCAGCAGGCCAGACAUCCUCCAAUGCAUCUCCUAAUUGCUUGACCAACUCUGGAGUGUCCCCUUCAAGUAAAUCCAGUCUGAGAAGGUCAGACUUGAUGUCUUCCAUCUGCUCUUCAUUGCUGGCCCAGGUCAUUUGCAUUUCUCUAUGAAUUUUGUAAUCUGCUUGACAAUUUAUACAAAAAGCCUGCUGGAAAUCUGGUUGCCAAAACUUCUUAGAGAAGACGCUGUUUCUGGAUUGAGCUAGAAGAUCUUGCAUUAGAAAUGAUUUGUUGUGCAGCAGAGGAAGGACCUACAAGGGAGAUUCAAAGCUGGUGUCUCUGUGGCAAGAGGAGAGAGAGAUGUGGCUCAGGGAUUGAUCCAUUCUCAGAAUACGCAGAAGCCAUCCCAAGAUGAAUGAGGUAAAACUCUGGGAUGCCCUGGGAGCCUCCCUGGCCCUGGAGAAGAGCCUGAAGCAGGAUCCACAUUUGGAUCAACAAUUGCUGGGUUCUGCCCACACAGACCCUCCUCUCUGUGACUUCCUGGAGAGUUGCUUCCUAGAGGAGAAGGUGAAACUCCUCCAGAAGAUGGUUGAUCACUGACCACCUCAACAGGCUCAUUGAAAGGCUCACUGCAAGCAGGACUAGGAGUCUCUGGAGCCCAAAGGCCUGUGAUGGGCCCCUCUUUGUUUCACUGGUGUCCAGUCUUCUGCCUGAGCCCCUCCCUCCAUCCAGGGGGCAUCUUUUUGACCUAAAAUAAAUGAUUAAAUAGUCUUAA